AGGGAACACACCUGUGACAGUUGACCCCAACUGACCAAAGGGAUAUUCCAUGCCAUAUGACAUUGUGCUCAUCAAUAAAACUGAGAAGGAAAGAAGUGGAA